UCCAGUAGUCAUAUGCUUGUCUCAAAGAUUAAGCCAUGCAAGUGUAAGUACGAGCUCGAGUACAGUGAAACUGCGAAUGGCUCAUUAAAUCAGUUAUGGUUCAUUUGAUCGUACGCUUUAAUACAUGGAUAACUGUGGCAAUUCUAGAGCUAAUACAUGCGUGAAGCGCCGACUUUACGGGAGGCGCGCAUUUAUCAGACCAAAACCGACCGGGCUUCGGCCCGUACUGUAAUGGUGACUCUGGAUAAGCUCGCGGAUCGCACGGUCUUGCACCGGCGACAUCUCUUUAAAGCAACUGCCCUAUCAACUAUCGUCGGUACGGUAUCGGCCUACCGAGGUUGUAACGGGUGACGGAGAAUCAGGGUUCGAUUCCGGAGAGGGAGCCUGAGAAACGGCUACCACAUCCAAGGAAGGCAGCAGGCGCGCAAAUUACCCAUUCCCGGCUCGGGGAGGUAGUGACGAAAAAUAACAAUACAGGCCUCGUACGAGGCCCUGUAAUUGGAAUGAGUACACUUUAAACGCUUUAACGAGUAUCCAUUGGAGGGCAAGUCUGGUGCCAGCAGCCGCGGUAAUUCCAGCUCCAAAAGUGUAUAUUUAAGUUGUUGCGGUUGAAAAGCUCGUAGUUGGAUUUUGGGACGUUGCGUUCGGUCGGCCGCAAGGCUUGCACUGGACGUGGUGUCCUCACGUGACCGGUGCCUCUAAGGUGCUCUUGACCGAGUGUCUGUGUGGUCCGGGAAGUUUACCUUGAAAAAAUUAGAGUGUUCAAAGCAGGCUCGAAGCCUGAAUAAUGUUGCAUGGAAUAAUGGAAUAGGACCUCGGUUCUAUUUUGUUGGUUUUCGGAGCGCGAGGUAAUGAUUAAGAGGAACGGACGGGGGCAUCCGUACUGUGCCGUUAGAGGUGAAAUUCUUGGAUCGGCGCAAGACGAACAACUGCGAAAGCAUUUGCCAAGAAUGUUUUCUUUAAUCAAGAGCGAAAGUCAGAGGUUCGAAGACGAUCAGAUACCGUCCUAGUUCUGACCUUAAACGAUGCCGACUAGCGAUCGGGCAGUGUAAAUUAUAGACCUGCCCGGCAGCUUCCGGGAAACCAAAGUCUUUGGGUUCCGGGGGAAGUAUGGUUGCAAAGCUGAAACUUAAAGGAAUUGACGGAAGGGCACCACCAGGAGUGGAGCCUGCGGCUUAAUUUGACUCAACACGGGAAAUCUCACCCGGCCCGGACACAGCGAGGAUUGACAGAUUGAGAGCUCUUUCUUGAUUCUGUGGGUGGUGGUGCAUGGCCGUUCUUAGUUGGUGGAGCGAUUUGUCUGGUUAAUUCCGAUAACGAACGAGACUCUUACUUGCUAAAUAGCUGCUCGGCCCGUCGAGGCCAGAGACAACUUCUUAGAGGGACUAGUGGCGUUUAGCCACACGAGAUUGAGCAAUAACAGGUCUGUGAUGCCCUUAGAUGUUCGGGGCCGCACGCGCGCUACACUGACCGGAUCAUCGUGUUUUUCCCUUGGCCGAAAGGCCCGGGUAAUCCGUUGAACCCCGGUCGUGCUAGGGAUAGGGAAUUGCAAUUGUUUCCCUUGAACGAGGAAUUCCCAGUAAGCGCGAGUCAUUAGCUUGCGUUGAUUACGUCCCUGCCCUUUGUACACACCGCCCGUCGCUACUACCGAUUGAAUGGUUUAGUGAGGUCCUCCGAUUGGGCCCGGAGCGCACGGAAACGCGCGCGCUGGCGCCCGAGAAGACGAUCGAACUUGAUCAUUUAGAGGAAGUAAAAGUCGUAACAAGGUUUCCGUAGGUGAACCUGCG
rnacentral:rRNA from 1 species